UGUUUUCAUUUGGUUAUCGAGUUUUAUGUAAAGCUUUGUUAACGAGCUUCACCCAGCUAAUAUCAUUGAAUCGAGGCCCACAAGCAUAUAUUCUUGACGAUACGAAUCCUAUCUACUUUGAUAUAUGUAUCGUAACCUCCGUCAGAUCGUCUUCCCCUCCAUUCAUCUGACAAAGUAACUCACAUACAUCAAUGGUGAGCAAUCAAUUUCAUCCCACAUUCUCACAACCCGAAGGGAGUAUCUAUAGAUGUCCCCUAAAAUAUUUCCACUUUUCCAAUUUUAAGUAGGACGUUGCAAGGAGACAGUCGUAACAUGUAUUCUUCGAUAUUGAACGUUUAGAAAGCAUGUGAGCUUCUGGGUGUGGACCUGGUUUUUGUUGACGAAAAGUCGACGUUGAUCAAAGGGUCUAUUGGGUUUCAUAGACUGAACCCUUAGUUUCAAGCAACUGCUGACAUAUGAGUUAAGCUUAUUCCAUGUCACCAGAAGCAACAGCCACUUCAAGCUCACCAACUCACCUGUUGCCAUACACAUCAACGACCAGAACACGAUUGUUGAUAUGACGGAUACGACUGCUCUUAUCCCGACAGAGAAGUAUAGAUUUCGGAAAUAUAAACAGCUUAUGGUUUUGGCUAAUACGAACAUCGAUUUUUCGGACGUUUUUGGUGAUGCUUGUGGCAUCAAGAGAUUCAAGGCCACAUACAGUGACAAAAGUAGACAGCCGUAUGCGUUAGUGUGUUUGAUAUGGUUGCAAAUAAGCUUCAUCAUAAGUUCGAGACAUUGUGCGUGGAGCCUAAAGUCAUUGUUUCUACGGACAUAAACCCAAAAUUUGUUGGAGGGCCAUAGCGUUGUUGGAAAAGAAUGCGGGAGAGAAGUAAGAAAGCCACAUUGCAGCUGGUGGACGUAGAGUGCAAUUACCUUACUUUUGAUUUCUUUAUAAAGCUUCUCCAGCUCUGAGAAUGCCAAUUGUUUUCCUCAGUUCUGGUCAGUGGUUAUUUAGUUUUUGUGAGAUGAUCUACCCGGGAAGACAUCAUGCUGUAUCAUUUUAUUACAACAAGUCAACAACACAAAGUUUAAUCUGCUGCCUCUUUGUUUGUAUUCGCUUUUGACUAUUAACCUUUUUGCAUGUGCUCUGGCAUAUCAACGAUAUUUUUAAGUUAUGUAGAGAUCUUUGCUCUUUUCGGUUAUUAAAUUAUUUUAUUAGUUGCCAAACA